GGGUUGUGAGGUUAAGCGACUAAGCGUACACGGUGGAUGCCCUGGCAGUCAGAGGCGAUGAAGGGCGUGCUAAUCUGCGAUAAGCGCCGGUAAGGUGAUAUGAACCGUUAUAACCGGCGAUACCCGAAUGGGGAAACCCAGUGUGACUCGUCACACUAUCAUUAACUGAAUCCAUAGGUUAAUGAGGCGAACCGGGGGAACUGAAACAUCUAAGUACCCCGAGGAAAAGAAAUCAACCGAGAUUCCCCCAGUAGCGGCGAGCGAACGGGGAGGAGCCCAGAGCCUGAAUCAGCAUGUGUGUUAGUGGAAGCGUCUGGAAAGGCGCGCGAUACAGGGUGACAGCCCCGUACACAAAAGCGCAUGUGCUGUGAGCUCGAUGAGUAGGGCGGGACACGUGGUAUCCUGUCUGAAUAUGGGGGGACCAUCCUCCAAGGCUAAAUACUCCUGACUGACCGAUAGUGAACCAGUACCGUGAGGGAAAGGCGAAAAGAACCCCGGCGAGGGGAGUGAAAAAGAACCUGAAACCGUGUACGUACAAGCAGUGGGAGCCCCACCACCAAAGCAUUUGCUGUACCGCGUUGACGGAGCGAAGCGACGUCAAACCGAUAA
rnacentral:rRNA from 1 species